GAAAUGUGAUAAGUAAUGUGAAUUGCAGAAUUCAGUGAAUCAUCGAAUCUUUGAACGCACAUUGCGCCCCCUGGUAUUCCGGGGGGCAUGCCUGUUCGAGCGUCAUUUCACCACUCAAGCCUCGCUUGGUAUUGGGCAACGCGGUCCGCCGCGUGCCUCAAAUCGACCGGCUGGGUCUUCUGUCCCCUAAGCGUUGUGGAAACUAUUCGCUAAAGGGUGCUCGGGAGGCUACGCCGUAAAACAACCCCAUUUCUAAGGUUGACCUCGGAUCAGGUAGGGAUACCCGCUGAACUUAAGC
rnacentral:misc_RNA from 1 species